GCGGAUGGCCGGAUGACCGCGGGGGCCGCAAGGCCCGCGAGGAAAGUCCGGACUCCAUGAAGCAACGGUGCCGGGUAACGCCCGGCCGGGGCAACCCGAGGGAAAGCGCCACAGAGAACAGACCGCCCGCGGUUCGCCGCUGGCAAGGGUGAAACGGUGGGGUAAGAGCCCACCGCGGGACUGGCAACAGGACCGGCUUGGCAAGCCCCACCGGGAGCAAUGCCGAAUAGGGGCCUCGCGCCUUCCGCUUCGGCGGAGGCAGGGACGCUUCAGCCCGGAGGCCCGGGUUGGCAGCUUGAGCCCGGAGGUAACUCCGGGCCUAGAGGAAUGGUCAUCCAGGGGGUUCGCCCCCGGACAAAAUCCGGCUUACAGGCCAUCCGCGCAU
rfam:Haematobacter massiliensis strain CCTG 47968 contig3_scaffold3, whole genome shotgun sequence.